AAGUCGUAACAAGGUUUCCGUAGGUGAACCUGCGGAAGGAUCAUUAAACGUAUAUUGACAUGUUAACAUGUCAUAUAUAUGAACCCCAUUCCGAGUACCUUACCUGUUGCUUCCGUGAGGCAGGAUUUCAAUCCCUCCGAAGAUGGUGUCUUCCGGCAUCUUACUGAUGGGAGUCCUCACGGGAGGUAUGCAUUAAACUCUUGUAUUGUAAUGUUAUAUCUGUCUGAAUCUGUUUAAUACAAAUGUUAAAACUUUCAACAACGGAUCUCUUGGUUCUCGCAUCGAUGAAGAACGCAGCGAAAUGCGAUAAGUAGUGUGAAUUGCAGAAUUCAGUGAAUCAUCGAAUCUUUGAACGCACAUUGCGCCUCCUGGCAUUCCGGGAGGCAUGCCUGUUCGAGCGUCAUUAAAAAACCCCCUCAAGCAGUUUUGCUUGGUCGUGGAGGAGGAGCAGGUCUUGGUGCCAUCUCCCCUCCGAGAUUGAAAGGCGGAAAGCCCCAUGUGCCCCGGCGUAGUAUGUAUCUUUCGCUUGGAAUAUGAGGUGCUACCAGCCCGAAAACCCCCAAUUUUAUCCAGGUUGACCUCGGAUCAGGUAGGGAUACCCGCUGAACUUA
rnacentral:rRNA from 1 species